rnacentral:rRNA from 1 species
CCUACGGGAGGCAGCAGUGGGGGAUAUUGCACAAUGGGGGAAACCCUGAUGCAGCGACGCCGCGUGGGUGAAGAAGGGUUUCGGAGCGUAAAGCCCUGUCAGCAGGGAAGAAAAUGACGGUACCUCACGAAGAAGCACCGGCUAACUACGUGCCAGCAGCCGCGGUAAUACGUAGGGGGCAAGCGUUAUCCGGAGUGACUGGGGGUAAAGGGUGCGCAGACGGCGCUGCAAGCCAGAUGUGAAAGCCCGGGGCUCAACCCCGGGACUGCAUUUGGAACUGUGUGGCUAGAGUGUAGGAGGGGCAGGCGGAAUUCCUGGUGUAGCGGUGAAAUGCGUAGAUAUCAGGAGGAACACCGGUGGCGAAGGCGGCCUGCUGGACGGUAACUGACGUUGAGGCCCGAAAGCGUGGGGAGCAAACAGGAUUAGAUACCCGUGUAGUC